AACGAACGCUGGCGGCAUGCCUAACACAUGCAAGUCGAACGAGACCUUCGGGUCUAGUGGCGCACGGGUGCGUAACGCGUGGGAACCUGCCCUUAGGUUCGGAAUAACUCCCCGAAAGGGGUGCUAAUACCGGAUAAUGUCUUCGGACUAAAGAUUUAUCGCCUUUGGAUGGGCCCGCGUUGGAUUAGCUAGUUGGUAGGGUAAAAGCCUACCAAGGCGACGAUCCAUAGCUGGUCUGAGAGGAUGAUCAGCAACACUGGGACUGGGACACGGCCCAGACUCCUACGGGAGGCAGCAAUGGGGAAUAUUGGACAAUGGGCGAAAGCCUGAUCCAGCAAUGCCGCGUGAGUGAUGAAGGCCUUAGGGUUGUAAAGCUCUUUUACCCGGGAUGAUAAUGACAGUACCGGGAGAAUAAGCUCCGGCUAACUCCGUG
rnacentral:rRNA from 1 species